rnacentral:lncRNA from 1 species
AUAUCCUGCUCAUUAUUAGCAGGUUUCCUCUUUGUGCCGGUAAGAUAUCCCUCCAAACCUCAUCCUUGUACAAGUAGACGAGUGCUCCUCUCCCAUUGUAAAUAUAUCGCUGGGCCAUCAAGUUUUACAGCCACUUGAAGAGCAUUCAGCGAUCCACUAUCUCUUGACGAACCCCCUGAUCGAGUGGCAACUAUAAUAAGCCGAUCCAGU